rnacentral:lncRNA from 10 species
CGCCUCCCGCGCCCAGUCCCUCUCCCGCUCCCUCUCCCGGGCCGCCGCCUCCUCAGCGCCGCGCGCGUCUCCCAUCAGACUCCCCGCCCCCAGUGCAGCGCCGUGCUGGUGGCAGGGCGGCGGCAGCCAGAACAAGGCCGGGCCCUUCCGCGCGUGUCAGAGGCUGCGCGGCGCCGGGCUUAUUUAGCUGUGGCACCGAGGCAGCUCUCUGCCUCGAGGCUGGAGGGCAACGCGGUCUGAGGCAGCCAAAGACCGGGCCAACUCGCUGCCAAAAAGGGGCCGGAUUGCUUCCGGAUCUAGGAGAGGAAAGCGUACACAAGAAACCUUUCCUGGAGAAGGAAUAGGUGAUAAGAAGACGGGAAGAAACAAGCAUCUGUUGCUACUGUCCCCAUUUUGCUGAUGUGGAAACUGAGGCUUGAAAGGGACCAAGAACCUAAUGAAAUGUUCCCAAGGUUGAAAUGGUAAUAAAUAGCCAGAAAUGAGGAAAAGGCAAAAAGUUAUCCAGGCUCGCAAGUCAAAGCCAUACUGGAUCUAAGCUAAACUUUCUUAUACAGGAUAGUCUACAAAAAACAAUAAGGGGACAUUAAUUUAUUCAUAUUAAAAAUACUUACUGAAGACACACUACGUUCCAGUGACUAGUACUGGGAAUAAAGAGGCGAGCAAAAGAGACUUACCAAGUUCCUGUUGCUAAAUCAGUAAGACUCAAGGAAGUAGCAACAAGUUAGAGUAGACGUGGUAACUACCUUCAAGAAAUUUACAAUUCCAAACGAGUCGUUAGGAAAUACAGUAUGAGGUGAAAACAGUUAAAAAGUGAAAGAAAUAAAACUAAAGAUAAUGAUGUUAAAAAAAACCCCACAUUAUCAGGCACUGUUAUAGCCUUCAUAUGUCAUUUCAUCUUGUCAAAGAAUGUCUCAAAAGACAGCCACAGGAAAGAAAAGAAAAACUUUAUUUGCAAAGCUGCAAGGGAGUGAGACUUCCAAAAGGACUGAUUCACCAAAUAUGAGACAUCAAGUUUUAAAGAUUAGUUAAAGUAUAGAGGGAAGAAAAGAACACAGAAUUAAAUUGACUUUACAUGCACUGAAAGGGAAUCUAAGCCAAGGAAAGUUGGAAUGGUAGCCUGUAAGGGGACAGCUACAGAAAGGGCCAGGGAAGAAGAAUUCCUAAUUGAUGUUUUCCUAUGCCAUUUCCUGAGUUCGUGACUGUGGACGAGUUAUCUCUCCAAAUCUCAUUGUCCGCUUCUGUGAAAUGCUGGUAGCAGGGAUGACUGCAAAGGCUUGUGGUCAAGAUUAAAUAACAUAAGAAAGUGCUGCUAGGUCAGCAAGUACUCAACUGAUUGAGAUCUUGAAUUCUUCUGCAUUCUUUCUAGUUUCCUUUCAGGUUAAUCAGAGGGUCCACCAUACCACGGAGCUGGCGAAUCCUACAUGUGUUUCCCAUAACCAUUAAACCAAUAAAUACAAGUGAAGACAUAAAACUAAUGGUUCUAGUCCCAAUUCUGGUUGUAAACUCCAGAAUUAGAUUGUAAACUCCCUGAGAACAAGGAAAAGUAUUUUCUCCUUUGUAUCUCCCUCAGCUCUCUCAAAUGUUUGUUGAAUUAUUCAGUGCAGCCAAGAAUAAAAAACAUUCCCUUGAGAUUUUCCCUCAAAGCCAGAAAAGUACAUCUUGUUUUUAACUCGGGGAGGAGGCUGAAAGUAAAACUACAGUCCUAAACAAGAAGCCAUCUGUCUUCCUUCUUUAUAGUCAAGGAAAGGGGAGUUGUUUCUCUUUGCAGAGUCAAUAUGGGAGCAUUUCUCUCAGAUUAGAAAAAUCUUUUUGGCUAGUGCUGCCGUUCC